rnacentral:rRNA from 1 species
CAGUUAAAAAGCUCGUAGUUGAAUUUCUAGGCAGUAGCUACUCGGAUUUCAAUUCAGUAUCUGCUGUCUAUCCGACACUGAACUAUGACGGGUAUUAAGUUAUCCCCAUAGCGAAUUGUCAUUUUACUUUGAAAAAAUUAGAGUGUUUCAGGCAGGCAAUUGCCCGGAUAUCUUAGCAUGGAAUAAUGGAAUAGGACUUUGGUUCAUUUGAUUGGUUAUUGAAUCAAAGUAAUGAUUAAUAGGGACAGUUGGGGGCAUUAGUAUUUAAUUGUCAGAGGUGAAAUUCUUGGAUUUAUUAAAGACUAACUUAUGCGAAAGCAUUUGCCAAGGAUGUUUUCAUUAAUCAAGAACGAAAGUUAGGGGAUCAAAGACGAUCAGAUACCGUCCUAGUCUUAACUAUAAACUAUACCGACUCAGGAUUGGCGAUGUUUCAACUUCGUCAGCACUGUAUGAGAAAUUAAAGUCUUUGGGUUCUGGGGGGAGUAUGGUCGCAAGGCUGAAACUU